rnacentral:rRNA from 1 species
ACUAAGUUUCAACAACGGAAUCUCUUGGCUCUCGCAUCGAUGAAGAACGCAGCGAAAUGGGAUAAUUAAUGUGAAUUGCGAGAAUUCAGUGAAUCAUCGAAUCUUUAGAACGCACCUUGCGCUCCUUGGUAUUCCUUGGAGCAUGCCUGUUUGAUUAUCAUGAAAU